rnacentral:rRNA from 1 species
AUUGAACGCCGGCGGCAGGCCUAACACGUGCAAGUCGAGCGGAUGAAGGGAGCUUGCUCCUGGAUUCAGCGGCGGACGGGUGAGUAAUGCCUAGGAAUCUGCCUGGUAGUGGGGGAUAACGUCCGGAAACGGGCGCUAAUACCGCAUACGUCCUGAGGGAGAAAGUGGGGGAUCUUCGGACCUCACGCUAUCAGAUGAGCGUAGGUCGGAUUAGCUAGUUGGUGGGGUAAAGGCCUACCAAGGCGACGAUCCGUAACUGGUCUGAGAGGAUGAUCAGUCACACUGGAACUGAGACACGGUCCAGACUCCUACGGGAGGCAGCAGUGGGGAAUAUUGGACAAUGGGCGAAAGCCUGAUCCAGCCAUGCCGCGUGUGUGAAGAAGGUCUUCGGAUUGUAAAGCACUUUAAGUUGGGAGGAAGGGCAGUAAGUUAAUACCUUGCUGUUUUGACGUUACCAACAGAAUAAGCACCGGCUAACUUCGUG